rnacentral:rRNA from 1 species
AUUGAACGCUGGCGGCAGGCCUAACACAUGCAAGUCGAACGGUAGCACAGAGAGCUUGCUCUCGGGUGACGAGUGGCGGACGGGUGAGUAAUGUCUGGGAAACUGCCCGAUGGAGGGGGAUAACUACUGGAAACGGUAGCUAAUACCGCAUAACGUCGCAAGACCAAAGUGGGGGACCUUCGGGCCUCACACCAUCGGAUGUGCCCAGAUGGGACUAGCUAGUAGGUGGGGUAAUGGCUCACCUAGGCGACGAUCCCUAGCUGGUCUGAGAGGAUGACCAGCCACACUGGAACUGAGACACGGUCCAGACUCCUACGGGAGGCAGCAGCGGGGAAUAUUGCACAAUGGGCGCAAGCCUGAUGCAGCCAUGCCGCGUGUAUGAAGAAGGCCUUCGGGUUGUAAAGUACUUUCAGCGGGGAGGAAGGCGGUGAAGUUAAUAGCUUCACCGAUUGACGUUACCCGCAGAAGAAGCACCGGCUAACUCCGUGCCAGCAGCCGCCGUAA